ACGGGUGAGUAAUGUAUCGGAACGUGCCUAGUAGCGGGGGAUAACUACUCGAAAGAGUAGCUAAUACCGCAUACGCCCUACGGGGGAAAGGGGGGGAUCGCAAGACCUCUCACUAUUAGAGCGGCCGAUAUCGGAUUAGCUAGUUGGUGAGGUAAAGGCUCACCAAGGCGACGAUCCGUAGCUGGUUUGAGAGGACGACCAGCCACACUGGGACUGAGACACGGCCCAGACUCCUACGGGAGGCAGCAGUGGGGAAUUUUGGACAAUGGGGGAAACCCUGAUCCAGCCAUUCCGCGUGUGCGAUGAAGGCCUUCGGGUUGUAAAGCACUUUUGGCAGGAAAGAAAAGUUGUGGGUUAAUACCUCGCAACGAUGACGGUACCUGCAGAAUAAGCACCGGCUAACUACGUGCCAGCAGCCGCGGUAAUACGUAGGGUGCAAGCGUUAAUCGGAAUUACUGGGCGUAAAGCGUGCGCAGGCGGUUCGGAAAGAAAGAUGUGAAAUCCCAGGGCUCAACCUUGGAACUGCAUUUUUAACUCCCGAACUAGAGUAUGUCAGAGGGAGGUGGAAUUCCGCGU
rnacentral:rRNA from 1 species